rnacentral:lncRNA from 10 species
AGGCAUUUGCUUCAGGUGAGCAGAGGGAUGACUUUCUGUCCCACAUCUGUGAAGAUCAGCUGUUGGUUUACAUUGCCAGGGUGAAAUUCAACAGAACUAAUUUAGGGUGAAGAUCUUGAGGCCCACAAGGAAUUUCCUUGUGGGAAAAUUGUGAGGAAGGUCUUGUCUCAGCUGACCCCAAGUGAAAGAGGGUCACAGGAAGAACAGACAUCACCUCAUUUCCAAGGAUGGCUCUGUGCACGGAGAUGAGGUCUCGCCAGCAAAUAAAGGGGCCUCUGCAGAGGCAGAAGAGCCAGGGGUGCUGACAGGCACAUUCUCCAAAGCCAAGCGACAGUCUAAUUACAGGCCGGCUCUGUAAUGAGAAGCGCAGGCUGGUUGGGGCAAUCCGGCACGGCUCAUGGCUCACGGCUCUGAGGCAAAGAGGGGCAGUCAGCAUCCAGGCCGGCAGGAGGGCCCUGGGGAGAGACCACCAGCUCAGCUGUCUCCAGACCACACACGUGCUGACUCUGGAGAGGGUGAAGGGGAGAUGAGAGAGAACCAGGCUGAAUACUGGUCGUGGACCAGGUGCUAAGCUGGGACUUUUACCUCCAUCUCUCAUGUAAUCCCCCAACAGCCAGGAGAAACAGGUGUAAUUUGCUGUUUCGUAGAGGAGAAAAUGGAGGCUCCCAGAAGUGAAGCAAAUUUCUCAAAGCUCAUGCACCUGAGAAUGGUGACGUGGGCUUCCGACUAAGGUGUGAGGGAAACUAAAAGCCUGUUUUCUUCCCGGGGGAAAUAAAGGAAGAGGCGGUUCCAUUCUGGAGCUGAGAGAGACCAUGAGGAACAGGAAGAAACAGGCUUGGCUGUGGCCCAACCAGGUGCGCGCCCCCACCACCAAAAAAAAUAUGUGAGUGAGACAGGAACGUGAGGCAUCAUUUUGGAUAUUAAAGCACAGAGUGACAUCAGAAACCUGAGUAACCUGGGAACAUCAGGGGUACAAAUUUGGGC